CAUCAGACGUAACAUUGAUAGCUAACUACCAUGCUUUCCGCCAGAGAACUACAAGACGAAAAGCUUAAAACUCAAAGGACUUGGCGGUAUCCCAAAUCGACCUAGAGGAGCCUGUCCUAUAACCGAUACCCCUCGUUCCACCCCACCUCUACUAGUAAAUCUCAGCCUAUAUACCGCCAUCUUCAGCAAACAA
rnacentral:rRNA from 1 species